AACUAGAUCUAAACAAAAACAUCCUUACCACAUGAUAACUGGUGCCUCUCAAUCAAGUAGGCCUAAGCCUAAAGCCUAUCAAAGCUUGCAAUACACAUGUGAUCUAGAUCUAGCUGAAUUAUCAACAGUUUCACUACUACAAGAUCUGAUCUAGACUUAGACCUAGAUAAUAACUAAUUUUCUUCUCUACAAGUUCUAGUCUAGUUACCACUUUGACAUUCACUUUGGAAACAAGACUCAACUACCCAGGUUCUUCGGCAUUGAUGCAAUCAACUGAAAUUUUAUGGAAAAGAUCAGGGCAGAAGUUUACACAGAGAUAAACAACCUUGUCUGAUGGAAACACCAAGUUGUUUUUGAGAGUUUUAUUAACAGAUCUGAGCCCAGGUAUUGUCG
rnacentral:sRNA from 1 species